rnacentral:rRNA from 1 species
UACCCGCAGCACAAGUGGUGGUCAUUAUUAUUGGGCCUAAAGCGUCCGUAGCUGGCCUGUUAGAUGCCUGGGUAAAUCGAUGCGCUCAACGUAUCGAACUCCGGGUAGACCGGCAGGCUCGAGACCGGGAGAGGUGUAGGCUACUCGCGGGGCAGGGGUAAAAUCCUGUAAUCCUGCGGGGAGGACCAGUGGCGAAGGCGCUACACUAGAACGGCUCUGACAGUGAGGGACGAAGCCCUGGGGCGCAAACCGG